UGGGCGAAAGCCUGAUCCAGCCAUGCCGCGUGUGUGAAGAAGGCCUUCGGGUUGUAAAGCACUUUCAGCGAGGAAGAACGCCUUGGGAUUAAUACUCYCGAGGAAAGACAUCACUCGCAGAAGAAGCACCGGCUAACUCCGUGCCAGCAGCCGCGGUAAUACGGAGGGUGCAAGCGUUAAUCGGAAUUACUGGGCGUAAAGCGCGCGUAGGUGGCUAAGUCAGCCAGGUGUGAAAGCCCCGGGCUCAACCUGGGAACGGCAUCUGGAACUGCUUGGCUAGAGUGCAGGAGAGGAAGGUAGAAUUCCCGGUGUAGCGGUGAAAUGCGUAGAGAUCGGGAGGAAUACCAGUGGCGAAGGCGGCCUUCUGGACUGACACUGACACUGAGGUGCGAAAGCGUGGGUAGCAAACAGGAUUAGAUACCCUGGUAGUCCACGCCGUAAACGAUGUCAACUAGCCGUUGGGUCCCUUGAGGACUUAGUGGCGCAGCUAACGCAAUAAGUUGACCGCCUGG
rnacentral:rRNA from 1 species